AACGAACGCUGGCGGCAGGCUUAACACAUGCAAGUCGAGCGCCCCGCAAGGGGAGCGGCAGACGGGUGAGUAACGCGUGGGAAUCUACCCAUCUCUACGGAAUAACGCAUGGAAACGUGUGCUAAUACCGUAUACGUCCUUCGGGAGAAAGAUUUAUCGGAGAUGGACGAGCCCGCGUUGGAUUAGCUAGUUGGUGGGGUAAAGGCCGACCAAGGCGACGAUCCAUAGCUGGUCUGGGAGGAUGAUCAGCCACACUGGGACUGAGACACGGCCCAGGCUCCUACGGGAGGCAGCAGUGGGUAAUCUUGGACAAUGGGCGCAAGCCUGAUCCAGCCAUGCCGCGUGAGUGAUGAAGGCCCUAGGGUUGUAAAGCUCUUUCACCGGUGAAGAUAAUGACGGUAACCGGAGAAGAAGCCCCGGCUAACUUCGUGCCAGCCGCCGCCGUAAUAC
rnacentral:rRNA from 1 species